GGAAGUAAAAGUCGUAACAAGGUCUCCGUUGGUGAACCAGCGGAGGGAUCAUUACAUGUGGUUUUUACCUCAACCUCACUGUGAACCUGUAUUCGUUGCGUUGGCAAGCUCUGGCUUGCCAAUGGUUGUACAAUCUAUAAAUGUAAUUUGUAUGUUGGUUAACUUAUGAAAACCUUUAUCAAUGGAUCUCUUGGCUCUAGCAUCGAUGAAGAACGCAGCGAAAUGCGAUAAAUAAUGUGAAUUGCAAGGCUUAGUGAGACAUCGAGUUUUUGAACGCACAUUGCGCCUGCUAGCAUGCUAGCAGGCAUAUCUGUUCGAGCGUCAUUUCUCUCCCUCAAGCUCGGCUUGUGUUGCAGGUCUACGAUUAUCGUAGCUUGUCAAAUCCAUUUGGCAGAAAGGUGUUGUUCGAAGAGAACGAUCAUAUGACUCUUCCAGCAGAAUCUUUCUACCACAAGACGUUUGAUUCUUGACCUCGAAUCAGAUAAGAGUACCCGCUGAACUUAAGCAUAUCAAUAAGCGGAGGAA
rnacentral:rRNA from 1 species